UACGUAGGGUGCAAGCGUUAAUCGGAAUUACUGGGCGUAAAGCGUGCGCAGGCGGUUAUGUAAGACAGUUGUGAAAUCCCCGGGCUCAACCUGGGAACUGCAUCUGUGACUGCAUAGCUAGAGUACGGUAGAGGGGGAUGGAAUUCCGCGUGUAGCAGUGAAAUGCGUAGAUAUGCGGAGGAACACCAAUGGCGAAGGCAGCUCGCUGGGACGGUACUGACGCUGGAGGCGACGAAAGCGUGGGGAGCAAACAGG
rnacentral:rRNA from 1 species